rnacentral:rRNA from 1 species
UUUCACACUGCCGAGAAAAGCCUCUAGAUAGAAAAUAGGUGCCCGUACCGCAAACCGACACAGGUAGUCAAGAUGAGAAUUCUAAGGUGAGCGAGCGAACUCUCGUUAAGGAACUCGGCAAAAUGACCCCGUAACUUCGGGAGAAGGGGUGCUCUUUAGGGUUAACGCCCAGAAGAGCCGCAGUGAAUAGGCCCAAGCGACUGUUUAUCAAAAACACAGGUCUCUGCUAAACCGUAAGGUGAUGUAUAGGGGCUGACGCCUGCCCGGUGCUGGAAGGUUAAGAGGAGUGGUUAGCUUCUGCGAAGCUACGAAUCGAAGCCCCAGUAAACGGCGGCCGUAACUAUAACGGUCCUAAGGUAGCGAAAUUCCUUGUCGGGUAAGUUCCGACCCGCACGAAAGGCGUAACGAUUUGGGCACUGUCUCAACGAGAGACUCGGUGAAAUCAUAGUACCUGUGAAGAUGCAGGUUACCCGCGACAGGACGGAAAGACCCCGUGGAGCUUUACUGUAGCCUGAUAUUGAAAUUCGGCACAGCUUGUACAGGAUAGGUAGGAGCCUUUGAAACGUGAGCGUUAGCUUACGUGGAGGCGCUGGUGGGAUACUACCCUAGCUGUGUUGGCUUUCUAACCCGCACCACUUAUCGUGGUGGGAGACAGUGUCAGGCGGGCAGUUUGACUGGGGCGGUCGCCUCCUAAAAGGUAACGGAGGCGCUCAAAGGUUCCCUCAGAAUGGUUGGAAAUCAUUCAUAGAGUGUAAAGGCAUAAGGGAGCUUGACUGCGAGACCUACAAGUCGAGCAGGGUCGAAAGACGGACUUAGUGAUCCGGUGGUUCCGCAUGGAAGGGCCAUCGCUCAACGGAUAAAAGCUACCCCGGGGAUAACAGGCUUAUCUCCCCCAAGAGUUCACAUCGACGGGGAGGUUUGGCACCUCGAUGUCGGCUCAUCGCAUCCUGGGGCUGUAGUCGGUCCCAAGGGUUGGGCUGUUCGCCCAUUAAAGCGGUACGCGAGCUGGGUUCAGAACGUCGUGAGACAGUUCGGUCCCUAUCCGUCGUGGGCGUAGGAAAUUUGAGAGGAGCUGUCCUUAGUACGAGAGGACCGGGAUGGACAUACCUCUGGUGUACCAGUUGUCGUGCCAACGGCAUAGCUGGGUAGCUAUGUGUGGACGGGAUAAGUGCUGAAAGCAUCUAAGCAUGAAGCCCCCCUCAAGAUGAGAUUUCCCAACUUCGGUUAUAAGAUCCCUCAAAGAUGAUGAGGUUAAUAGGUUCGAGGUGGAAGCAUGGUGACAUGUGGAGCUGACGAAUACUAAUCGAUCGAAGACUUAAUCAA